AGAUGGCGACCGGCGCACGGGUGAGUAACACGUAUCCAACCUGCCGAUAACUCGGGGAUAGCCUUUCGAAAGAAAGAUUAAUACCCGAUGGUAUAAUCAGACCGCAUGGUUUGAUUAUUAAAGAAUUUCGGUUAUCGAUGGGGAUGCGUUCCAUUAGGCAGUUGGUGAGGUAACGGCUCACCAAACCUUCGAUGGAUAGGGGUUCUGAGAGGAAGGUCCCCCACACUGGAACUGAGACACGGUCCAA
rnacentral:rRNA from 1 species